rnacentral:rRNA from 1 species
UACGUAGGUGGCGAGCGUUGUCCGGAUUUACUGGGCGUAAAGGGAGCGUAGGCGGACUUUUAAGUGAGAUGUGAAAUACUCGGGCUCAACUUGAGUGCUGCAUUUCAAACUGGAAGUCUAGAGUGCAGGAGAGGAGAAUGGAAUUCCUAGUGUAGCGGUGAAAUGCGUAGAGAUUAGGAAGAACACCAGUGGCGAAGGCGAUUCUCUGGACUGUAACUGACGCUGAGGCUCGAAAGCGUGAGGAGCAAACAGG